UACGUAGGGGGCAAGCGUUGUCCGGAUUUAUUGGGCGUAAAGAGCGUGUAGGCGGCUUGGUAGGUCCGCUGUGAAAACUCGAGGCUCAACCUCGAGAUGUCGGCGGAAACCACUUGGCUAGAGUCCGGAAGAGGCAAGUGGAAUUCCCGGUGUAGCAGUGAAAUGCGUAGAGAUCGGGAGGAACACCAGUGGCGAAGGCGGCUACCUGGACCAGCACUGACACAUGAGCACGAAAGCGUGGGGAGCAAACAGG
rnacentral:rRNA from 1 species